UACGUAGGGGGCGAGCGUUGUCCGGAUUUAUUGGGCGUAAAGAGCGUGUAGGCGGUUCGGUAAGUCUGUCGUGAAAUCCUGAGGCUCAACCUCGGGCGUGCGAUGGAUACUGCCGGGCUAGAGGAUGGUAGAGGCGAGUGGAAUUCCCGGUGUAGCGGUGAAAUGCGCAGAUAUCGGGAGGAACACCAAUGGCGAAGGCAGCUCGCUGGGACGUUACUGACGCUGAGACGCGAAAGCGUGGGGAGCAAACAGG
rnacentral:rRNA from 1 species